rnacentral:lncRNA from 1 species
UUGGCAGCAGUCUCUGUAGUCAUGCAAAGAACACAGUGGGAAAUGUAAACCCUGACUACAUUCUUUCAAUGGCAGGUGAGUGUUACCAUUAUAAUAAAUCACUUGCUGUACUUUUCCUGCUUCUUAUUUUUCACUGAUGACUAGAAUGGAAGAGAAUAGUCAAUACUAAGGGAAAUUAGCUAAUGAUGUUUUCUCCCCAACCUGUCUGGAGACUGUAAACCAGGGGCUUUGUGAGCAGAGUAACAUCUGAAAGCAGCCUUCAAUGAUCUGCCUUUCAUUUCCACUCUUUUAGUGCCAGUGCCUCCCCAAGUCACCCAGAACCAGAAAAAGGUACCAUGGCAUUUAGACUUUGUCUCUGCAACAUCUGAUGCCAUGCAGCCAGUGACCAUGGGUUCCUUAGUGUUCCUAGGAGGCUUGGGAGGGUGAUGGGUGGGGUGUCAGUGAUAACAGCCAACCUAAGCAGUUAAGAUGAGCUUCACCAUGGCUGUGUGUCUCCGGAGCAUUUAACAGCACAACCUGGACCAGUUUAAGACCCAGUCCUUAAUGGUAUCUUACAGAAAGGCUAUUAUUAAGCAAAGAAUUCAUGUUGGAUCAAUUGCCUGUCCCACGUUACCAUAUUUCAGUUAGGAGCUAACAGCUUCCAUUAAUGUUUGAAGCUGUGAUCUUUGGAAGAUUUUAAAAAUACAACCAUAAUGUGAAUUGGGUUAUAUAAGCUUUACAGCACAGAUAGAGAUAAGGGAUAGAAACUAUGUGGGAAAUCACAUAAUCUCUCACUCCAGCCCAUCCUCUAGAGUUUGGAAAUCUGAUGAGUUCAUAUAUUCAAAGCUUUUGAUGGUACCUAGUAUGUAGGAAAUACUUGUGAAUGCUGACUCUGCUGUUGUGGUUGAGGCAGGAUGGAUGUGAGGGAGGUGAGACUAUGCUGGUUAAGCAGCAGGUGUGUGGCCUACUGAGGGGAGAGUUGGGCUCACUCCUUUGCACUCAUAGUCUUGGGCUCCCCCCAGCUGAGGCCAGCCUCCGCAGGACCAAUGUGCUCAUUUCUGCUGCAGCAGUUAAAUCAAACCAGCCAUCUUGCAGCCCAGGGUUUGUAAAUACUUGUUUGGGAUUUAUGGGUGCUUUGAGUUUCACAAGGGCUGAACCUUGACCAUUUAUCUGCUGAUUCAAGUUUUCUAGCCACACUUAAGUAAUAAAAAAAAAAAAAAAACUUACAAAGGUCAGAAUCUAGUCUGGAUGGCUUGUGGUAUUUGGUGGUAGAGAACAAGUUAUUAUAAACUAUAGAGGGAAAGAACACAUAGGAUGCUGUUGGCUUAGAUUCUUGCGAAGAGUCUCUGUCCCUUGUUUUAUGGUACGUUAGUGUAAAGCAUCUGUACUCACCACCACACAAGGCCUCCCUUCUGUCUGAGACAGUUAGGGUAUUAAUCUGUUGUAUCUCUGUUUGUCUACCUAUUUGGACACAAUUGGGAAGUUUCUAUUGCAUACAAGGACAAGUGGGUGAUGGUAAAGUUGCCACUUCUGAAUUGAAUGAAGGGCCUGUGUCUACUAUGCAAAUUCUGGCUCACACAUGCUUGCAAAGACUUAAGGAGCCUCAGAAGAAGAGUGGACAGGUUGAGUUCCAGGCUGUUAGCAGGAGAUGCUGGACUUUACAAGUGUCGGCGUGGUUGAAGCAGCAGCCUGCAUGUAUGGACUGUCAUCAGUGCCUCGCCCAGAGAUGCCUGGCCUUCAUCCAAAGGGACCCUGCUGCUCCAAGCCCUGCAAGCAGCACCCUCGCUGUGGCUCCUUUGUGUUGAAUAUGUUGGACUCUGCCAUAGACUGACCCCUUUGUCUGGCUGCUGUGGUUUGUAAUGCCUUGACAUGUUACAUUUCUUUCCCAUUUGGAUGAAUGAAAAUAAAUGCUAUGUAUAAAAUAGGAAUGGGCUGAACUAUUCUGUGCAGGACUCACUCUGCUGAAAGAAGUUUCAGUGCCAGCUGCAGAGAUGGCUCAGUGGGUAAAAAGAGCUCAUUGUUCUGAGAGUGCCUGGGUUCAUUUCCCAGUAUCACCAAUAGCUGCCUAUAACAACUCCAGG